rnacentral:rRNA from 1 species
ACGGCGAACGGGUGAGUAACACGUGAGUAAUCCACCCUUGGUACCGGGAUAGCCCGGGGAAACUCGGAUUAAUACCGGAUGGCCCAACAGGUUCUCGAACCGGUUGGAAAAGAUAGCUUCGGCCCUCGACCAAGGACGAGCUCGCGGCGGAUUAGCUUGUUGGUGGGGUAACGGCCUACCAAGGCGACGAUCCGUAGCUGGUCUGAGAGGACGAUCAGCCACACUGGGACUGAGACACGGCCCAG